AAACAAGAGUUCAGUCAACUGAGCACCUUACAGGAGAGAUUGGAAGCCUGUGGACAUGACCCAGGAAGAAUCAGGGGAUGAAUAUAUUGAGGGACACAAGAGGAGGAAGACCACCUUGCUCUGACAGUCAAGGACACCUUCAUCCAUGCUGAGCUGUAAAUCCCAUCUGAAAGUGAUGGGAUUUUAGGCAGGACACAAAUGUAUGAGCUUAUAGCCUGCAGGGAAAACUGCUCUUUAGCUAGUGAGGCAAAUAAACAAGAAAGAGGUCAUUUUAUGACAUUUUAUCCUCAGACAUGACCCUGGAAAUGGAGACAUGGGCCAAUCACUGGAAAAAAUGCUGACUAACCUUGUAAAGAAAAUGAGGAGGAGGAGCUAAAAGAAGUGUGACACACAGAAAGUGAAGGGUAUGAAACCUGAAUCCAGAACCUGGGAAGUGUUCCUGUGUCAUCAUCACCUUGGAUAAAAUCAAGACUUCUUAUGCCUGAAUAGAAUUCUUUCCCGGUGCCUAGUUUGAGAUGGAAAGGUCUAGGCCUGAGGAGACAUUGAUGUUGUGAUGUUCUCUUGGGACACAGUGACAAAGUCCAGGUAAGGUCCCCUGGUGGUUCCCAGAUGUGUGGAGAUCUGGUGGGAGACAACUGGCUUACCAUGCAGGAAUAGUCAAGCACAGAGGAAAAGGGGCUGGGUCCACUUAGAAAUCACUUCUAACCAACACAAAGUUGCUGCUGGGAAUCAUGCAGGUUGUGGUAGAAAAUUGUAACACUGUUCUGGUGUCGUCUUUUGCAAGUCUUUUGGCACAAAAAGAUCAAUUUUGCAUGGCUGUCUGCAGGAAAGAAAGGGAAGUGGACACAGAAACCUACAGGAGGUCUAACUUCUGUGCAGAUGUUUGUCAAAAUAAUUCUCUAUAAGCAAAGAAUCCUUUCAAUGACUUUUUAGAGGCUAUUUUUCUCCACAGUAAAGUCUGUCAGUUUGCUCAUCUGUAUUUUAAGUGCUUUGCAAAUAUCUUCAGCAGAAGAAAACAUGAUACCAUGACCCUGAGUAUCAGAUCAGUAACUUGAUUCUCAUCAAAGAAAACAAAAAUAGAGAGCAUGUGAUCUCCUCUCACCAUCUGAACAAAGCACUCAGCUCACAAAUAACCCAGUGCUUUUAGGCGCAGAGAGAGAACUCCUUGGUGAGUAACUGUGAAUAGCAAAUGAAGGAGAUUUUGAAUCAGCCUGUGGGAAAUGCUGGAAAAGACAUAGUGGGUACCUUUAAUAGUCAAGGUAUUUGCUAACACGCCUGCCUUUGUUUUUCUUUCUGUCAGAUGCCCCAUUCACCUGUGUCUGAACUGCUGACACCAGCAGGAGCUUGGCUCCCUAUCCCUCUGCUGAGAUCUGUGGGGAGUAUCAAGCAGGGACUCUAUCAGCUGAGGUGCAUUAUUCUUGACACAGUCUGAAAGAAAGCAUUUGCUCCUUGAGACUGUGUGACACACAGCAUGCAGGCUUCUGCUUCAGAAACUCCGUUGCUCAUUAUAGAAAUGUUAAGUUUACUCUCCACUCUGGCAGCUUUGCUUCGGCAGAAGAAAAUAAUACAUCCAACAAGUUAUCCUAACGCCUAUGGACUGGCACCAAUAAACAAAUCUCUGUCUCCUUGUGCUUGAAGCAGCUGCUGGUGAUUACCCUCCUCCCGUGGAGACAGAAACACAUCUGGUGUCUGCAGAGCAGCAAAGAAGCAGAGUGGAGAUGAGCCAAAGCAGCCGUCCCUGGUAUGCACAGCUGCAUCAGCUCAGCACUGCUGCUCCACCUGAGCCAUGGCUUGUGCAGGCACUGGGUCAGGGUGGUUAUUAGGAGGAGGAGGAAAAUAUAAAGGGUUCUUUUCCUCCUUCAUGCUUCCCCACUGCAUCUGAAUCAUUUGGCUUUGCCUUAGAUUUUAUAUGUGGCCAUUGUUCCCAUUCUUCCGCAUUCCUCAUGAUCACAUUAAAAAGAUUACCAAGGUGGCCUAAAUUAGCAUGUUUGUAAUCUUUGAUGAAAAUUUCCCUAUGCGAAGAAGAAAAAUACAACAUCCUACCACUCAUCUGUUUGUCUAAUGGCUUAUUUGUGACCUGUAGAAAUAAAACUGUGGAGA